rnacentral:rRNA from 1 species
AUGCAUAGAUAUGACAUAGGACACCAAUAGCGAAGGCAGCUUACCAGAUCAUAACUGACACUGAGGGACGAAAGCUUGGGGAGCGAACAGGAUUAGAUACCCUGGUAGUCCACGCCGUAAACGAUGAUCACUAGACAUUGGCGACAUACUGUCGGUGUCAAAGCGAAAGUAUUAAGUGAUCCACCUGGGGAGUACGCCGGCAACGGUGAAACUCAAAGGAAUUGACGGGGGCCCGCACAAGCGGUGGAGCAUGUGGUUUAAUUCGAUGAUACGCGAGGAACCUUACCUGGGCUUAAAUGCAGAACGACCGAUCCGGAAGCGGAUCUUUCUUCGGACGGACUGCAAGGUGCUGCAUGGUUGUCGUCAGCUCGUGCCGUGAGGUGUCGGGUUAAGUCCCAUAACGAGCGCAACCCCUAUCGUUAGUUGCCAGCGGAUAAUGCCGGGGACUCUAACGAAACUGCCCGUGCAAGCGGAGAGGAAGGUGGGGAUGACGUCAAAUCAUCACGGCCCUUACGUCCAGGGCUACACACGUGCUACAAUGGCGCAUACAAAGGGCAGCUACCACGCGAGUGGAUGCUAAUCUCUAAAGUGCGUCUCAGUUCGGAUUGAAGUCUGCAACUCGACUUCAUGAAGCUGGAAUCGCUAGUAAUCGCGCAUCAGCCAUGGCGCGGUGAUACGUUCCCGGGCCUUGACACACCGCCCGUCAAGCCAUGGAAGCUGGGGGUGCC